UUACAUUGUACACUUUUGUAAUUUUUUUCAAAUUGGUUAAUAACACAUAACUUACGUUUAUAUAUUUUUGUGCCUUUCAUAGUAUUAACUUUUUUUUUAUUUUUCUGAUUUAUAAAAUUUGCGGUUUUUUUUUUUUUUUUUUUUUUUUUAAAACUAUUUUUCAUAAAUAUAUUAAAUAAAUUACUUACACACGUCCCUGCUACUUGGUUCGUUCUGAGUUAUGUCACAUUAUCAAUUUACUCAAUAGAAAUAAUAAUAUACCUUUCUACUAAUUAUAUAUACAUGUACGUAUCGUAUGUAUGUAUGUAUGUAUAUACGGACAUACAUUCACAAACACAUGUCUAAACAUAUAUAACAAAAAGUAAAAUUUAUAAUUAUACACAUAUAGUUUUGUACAAACAACUGUUGACCCAUAUGUUAACAAAUUUUUGUAUACAUUUAUAUUGUUUCUGAGUAACAAAAAAAAAAAAAAUAAAAAUAAAAUAAAAAAAAAAAAUUAUGCAUACUACCUAAGUUUAAAUUAACUAUAACAAACUUAAUAAAAAUAUAAAAAACAUGUCAUUAACAAAAGAAGAAGAACUUGAGGAAUUACACAAUAAAAUAAUUGACAAUACGAUAAAAAACUGUAGUGACUUUUAUAAUGUACGCAUCUUAGAGGCUAUAAAAAUUAGAUGGCAAAAAAUAUACAAAGAAAAAUUAAAAAAUAUCGAACAUAAUUUAAAACAAAAAAAUGAAGAAUCUAACAAAAACCAAACUAACAUAACUGCUAACAACUCUAAUGAUGAUGACGAUGACGAUGAGUUUGAGGAUGCUGAAGUUGAAGAAAAAAAAAUGGUCUCUUUUCCUGAACAAAUUGACGAUGGCGAUGAUAAUACAGGUUUGAAUUUGUUUUACAUAUUUGGGAUUAUUCUGCUUAUAUACAUACAUGUGUGUAUACGUUUAUAUUCCUAUAAUAUGCAAAUCUCACACGAGCUCAAUACUUCAUCUUCAUUUUUGUUAUUAUAUAUAUAUAUAUAUAUAUAUAUAUAUGUGCUUUUUUUUUUUUUUUUUUUUUUUUAGAAGAAUUGAACGAGUUAGAUAACAUUUCCAUCAGUGACCUGAGUGAUGUAGACCCACCAACAGACAAUAUCAUAGUCGGUAUUUGUGAUAAAGUAAGAACGAAUGACAAUAAUAUUUACAAAAAGAAAUCUUUCGUUUAUACGAGCAAAA
rnacentral:lncRNA from 1 species